AUACAGGGGCAGUGGCCCAGGCUGACCACCUCCCUGCCUUCCUCAUCCCCUGGCCUCACCUCCACAAUGGAUGGGUCUUCAGGCUCCAGAAGGCAGGAAUGAAGACUAUGACAAGCAGGAGGAGAAGCAGCAGCCCAGGGGUCUCCCCGGUUCCUGUACUGCAGCUCAUACUGAAGCUUGCCCUUCAGCAUGUAGAAGGCAGGGUCUUCGUAAUCUGAGCGCCAGGAGAUAUUAUACUGUCCUGAGAAGGUCACAGUCACGUUGAAAGGGGGAGCCGGCUUGACUUGGUGGAAAAACCCAGGAAAAGAAAAUGGGGUGAGAAUUUGCUGCAGGUGAAAAGGAUUUGGUGAUGGGAGGAAGUCCUGCCUGCCCCCACCCCUGCCUCCAUGCCUGACCCAUCAUGGAUGAGAUGAAGACCAACAACCCUGAGUGACUUUGGGCAAAGUACUCCCAACUCUGGGCUUCAGUUUAUUCAUCUGGGACCUGGGAGAUUUAGACCUGAUCAGGAUUGCAAACUCAGGGGCGGGCAGGUCACAGAGAGGAGUGAAGCAGGUUUAGGGACUGUGACGAAAUAAAACAGUCUGGCUGGG